rnacentral:rRNA from 1 species
AUUGAACGCUGGCGGCAGGCCUAACACAUGCAAGUCGAACGAGUGGCGGACGGGUGAGUAAUGUCUGGGAAACUGCCUGAUGGAGGGGGAUAACUACUGGAAACGGUAGCUAAUACCGCAUACCAUCAGAUGUGCCCAGAUGGGAUUAGCUUGUUGGUGGGGUAACGGCUCACCAAGGCGACGAUCCCUAGCUGGUCUGAGAGGAUGACGACCGACACGGGAAUGGAGAAACGGCCCAGAGUCUUACGAGAGGCAGCAGUGGGGAAUAGUGGACAAUGGGCGCAAGCCUGACGCAGCCAGGCAGCGUUUGUGAAGAAGGUCGUCGGGUGGUAAAGUACUUUUAGCGGGGAGGCGUUACCCGCAGAAGAAGCACCGGCUAACUACGCGUCAGCAGCCGCGGUAAUAC